UUUCACUGAAACAAGGGAAAACAUUGGCAGCAGUAAAGAAUUUUAUGCAAUAUACGAAAGUAAGACAUAGGUAGGACAUUUUAACCUGUCAAAUUAAGUGCCAGCAGACGCGGUGAAACUUAAGGGUUUGUUUUUUAGAAAAAGCAGAAAGCGUGUAAAGGUAAAACAUUUAAAAUAAAUAGAAUUUUUUUAGUAAUAGUGAAAUGUUAAAAUGAGAAAAAGAAUUCUUUAUGUGAAAACAAUUUAUUUUUUUCUUGAACACGAAGGUUCUGGGAGCAAACAGGAUUAGAGACCCUGGUAGUCGAUACAGUAAAAGAAAGUCGCUUGAGUAGUACGGUCGCAAGAUUAAAAUUCAAAAAACUUGGCUGUUCAUUGUUAUUUAGAGGAGCGUGUCGCUUAAUUCGACAAUCCGCGAAUUACCUUACCAAGACUUGGUUGUCAGGUGUUGCAUGGCCGUCGUCAAUUUAUGUUUGAUACAAUAAAUUAAACCCUAGAAAGGUUGAAGUCAGGUAUUAUUGCCCUUAUGUCUUGGGGUUAGAUGCGCUACAUUUUUUUUUUAAUAAAAAAAAAGAGUUCGGAUUGUCUUUUAAAGAGGACGAUUAAGUUGAAUUUAAUAGUAAUUGAAAAGUAGAGCGUUUCAAUGAAUUUUAAGCAAUGUUAGUACAAAUAGCCCGUCGCCUUUACUGAGGUAAACAAAGUAGAGUAAGUCGUAACA
rnacentral:rRNA from 5 species